GGGGGCGAACAGGUUUCGACCGGAUAGGCGAAGCGUCAGUGGCGUGCCGUGGUUGAUCAGUUGGCCACGUUAAAAGCUGAUCACUACCUUCAAUUGCCGAAGGUAACUACGCUUUGGCUGCCUAGUUAAAUAGGUAACCCGGACUAAGGACUGACGUCGGGUCGGUCCGGACGUCCGUCACCAAUCCCGACUAGCCGCGCGGCAAACGUUGGAUACACGCGCGGCGAAAUAAAGUUUCCGACUAGUGAGUCGCGAGCCCUGUCGACGAGGCGCGCGGCAAGCGAAGCUAAAUUCAUCGACUACGCACGUAGAAGCUGCCGUGGAGAUAUCUCGGGACGCGGGUUCGAUUCCCGCCGCCUCCAC
rnacentral:tmRNA from 1 species